GAGUUUGAUCCUGGCUCAGGACGAACGCUGGCGCGUGCUUACCACAUGCAGUCGAGCGGUAAGGCCCUGCUCGGGGUACACGAGCGGCGAACGGGUGAGUAACACGUGGGUGAUCUGCCCUGCACUUCGGGAUAAGCCUGGGAAACUGGGUCUAAUACCGGAUAUGACCUUCGGCUGCAUGGCUGAGGGUGGAAAGGUUUACUGGUGCAGGAUGGGCCCGCGGCCUAUCAGCUUGUUGGUGGGGUAAUGGCCUACCAAGGCGACGACGGGUAGCCGACCUGAGAGGGUGACCGGCCACACUGGGACUGAGACACGGCCCAGACUCCUACGGGAGGCAGCAGUGGGGAAUAUUGCACAAUGGGCGAAAGCCUGAUGCAGCGACGCCGCGUGAGGGAUGACGGCCUUCGGGUUGUAAACGCCUCUUUCAGCAGGGACGAAGCGAAAGUGACGGUACCUGCAGAAGAAGCACCGGCCAACUACGUGCCAGCAAAGCGCGGUAAUACGUAGGGUGCAAGCCCGGAAUUACUGGGCGUAAAGAGCUCGUAGGCGGUUUGGAUCGCACUAGUCGUCUGUGAAAACUCGAGGCUCAACCUCGAGCUUGCAGGCGAUACGGGCAGACUUGGGAGUACUGCAGGAGACUGGAAUUCCUGGUGUAGCGGUGAAAUGCGCAGAUAUCAGGAGGAACACCGGUGGCGAAGGCGGGUCUCUGGGCAGUAACUGACGCUGAGGAGCGAAAGCGUGGGUAGCGAACAGGAUUAGAUACCCGGUGGUAGUACGCCGUAAACGGUGGGCGCUAGGUGUGGGUUUCCUUCCACGGGAUCCGUGCCGUAGCUAACGCAUUAAGCGCCCCGCCUGGGGAGUACGGCCGCAAGGCUAAAACUCAAAG
rnacentral:rRNA from 1 species